rnacentral:rRNA from 1 species
CAGUAGCCGCGGUAACACGGAGGGUGCAAGCGUUAAUCGGAAUUACUGGGCGUAAAGCGCACGCAGGCGGUCUGUCAAGUCGGAUGUGAAAUCCCCGGGCUUAACCUGGGAACUGCAUUUGAAACUGGCAGGCUAGAGUCUUGUAGAGGGGGGUAGAAUUCCAGGUGUAGCGGUGAAAUGCGUAGAGAUCUGGAGGAAUACCGGUGGCGAAGGCGGCCCCCUGGACAAAGACUGACGCUCAGGUGCGAACGCGUGGGGAGCAAACAGGAUUAGAUACCCCUGUAGUCCCUGUCUCUUAUAC